rnacentral:rRNA from 1 species
UACGUCAGCGGCAGACGGGUGAGUAACGCGUGGGAACAUACCUUUUGGUUCGGAACAACACAGGGAAACUUGUGCUAAUACCGGAUAAGCCCUUACGGGGAAAGAUUUAUCGCCGAAAGAUUGGCCCGCGUCUGAUUAGCUAGUUGGUGAGGUAACGGCUCACCAAGGCGACGAUCAGUAGCUGGUCUGAGAGGAUGAUCAGCCACAUUGGGACUGGGACACGGCCCAA